CCUACGGGUGGCAGCAGUGGGGAAUAUUGCACAAUGGGGGAAACCCUGAUGCAGCGACGCCGCGUGGGUGACGAAGUAUUUCGGUAUGUAAAGCCCUAUCAGCAGGGAAGAAGAUGACAGUACCUGACCAAGAAGCCCCGGCUAACUACGUGCCAGCAGCCGCGGUACUACGUAGGGGGCAAGCGUUAUCCGGAUUUACUGGGUGUAAAGGGAGCGUAGGUGGCAUGGCAAGCCAGAAGUGAAAACCCGGGGCUUAACCCCGCGGAUUGCUUUUGGAACUGUCAGGCUGGAGUGCAGGAGGGGCAGGCGGAAUUCCUGGUGUAGCGGUGAAAUGCGUAGAUAUCAGGAGGAACACCGGUGGCGAAGGCGGCCUGCUGGACUGUAACUGACACUGAGGCUCGAAAGCGUGGGGAGCAAACAGGAUUAGAUACCCGAGUAGUC
rnacentral:rRNA from 1 species